AUGGAGAGCCAGAAAGAAGGAGAAGGUGUCUUCUCUGGAAUCCAGGUAGAGAUUCUUGUUUCUAAUGUCUUCUGGGAUAGACUGGGCCUUGAAUCUGGUCAGAGAGUCACUGGUUACUCCCACUACGUGUGGGCCACUAUUGCUCCAGCGUACUUCACAGGUGGUGGCGACGUGCCCCCCGCCCCCAUAGGCUACCAAUACUGCUGCCACCAAGGCUCAGCAAGCAUGACUGAAGCUGGGGACAUCUGUACAACAUCUGCAGAUGACUGGGUCCAUUG